CUUUGAGAACGGUGAAUGCAAACUGCGUAUUCUGUUCCCAAAACAGGAGCAGAAACAGCGGGUUAAAUAACGGUUACCUUCAAGAACAUUUGUACUCUUAAUUGAUGGUGUUUGAAUUGGAAAAUAACCUCACAAGGAUGAAAGACUCUGAAUUGGAGACCACGUGUGAAGGUCAGGUCAACUGCCCACUGGAGGAAAGGAACAAACAUGAUCGUCAUUAUCACAACCUUUAUUUGAGCGCGAUAAUCUUGAAGAUUUUGGGUCCUGUCUGUAAUCUAUAAAAACUAAGCUGCAAACUGAGACUGAAUGCAUAAUAAAUGUUUGGGGUUAUACAGACAUCUUAAAACUAACCCUCAUUAUCACACCGCAAAGGAGAGUCUUUAAGAGGUAUCCUAAUAAGAAGUUAACUUUGAGGGCAGAAGAUUUAAAAGCCCUAGCGAAUAGCAGAAGUUGCACAGGCCUACCAACACCUCUUGCUUUCCGGCUUACCGGCGUGUUAACUUAUGUAAGGUACAGUUAUUCAUUGAUCAAUUUACUCCUUUUAUUACUCUAAUUGAACUUUCCUUCAUUUGGGGAUCAGGAUAGUAGAUUUACCAUAGUAUACACGCAAUAAGUUAGUUUGCCUUUACUGAGGAAAGUAAAUUUACAAGACCACUGGGUACCGUUACAUACAGUAACAUUAUGUAACGCAAUACACCAAACACAGUAAAUGUGGCACAGUGCUAUCUACUUAAAUGCAAUGCAUUCUGAUAAAAAGUGAUGAAAUUGAGAAUUCGCAGUUCCUUUAUAUUUGUCUUAAAUCCUGAUCAUGCUACUGCUCACUCACUACCCUGUGGCUGCACAGCAAUAACUUGAAUUACUAUAUACAAUCAUGCAUUUUGAUUGGAUCUUAUCUAUGAUUUAUUAGAGGACAGGGACAUUGAUGAUGCCAUCAAUAACAAAACUUGCUUUCUUGCUUAUUUAUAUAUAAUGCAAAAACACACUAAGCUUAUUUUUUGCUAUGUCACAUGUGGUUAUCCCUGAUAAAUCAUCUGCUUGGAUCCAGGUCCUGUGGACAUUCUAUUGCUGUCUCCUGUGAUCAAUCCUUGGUGGGUAGCCUGUGGAAAAGCCUUUUUAACACUCAGCUGAAUAUUUGAGGAAAUCCUUAGCUUCAUUUACAUUCCCUUUUGAUAUAAACUGUGCAAAAAGUCAACUACAAGGUACAUUAUGGUAUGAUGUCAUCAAAAAGACUUCUUUCAAAGUAAGUUGUGCGCCCAUCAUUUAAAAGCUUUGACAUUUCCUCCUCCCCCACCCUAAGGCAACAUGCAGCCCAUGGGCAUUCUACAGUUGGCCAUACCUAGGAGUUGGGAAUUGGAACCUUGCUCGUGUGGAGUGGGGAAUUUGACCAGAACUGGAAAGUCUUUCCAGGGCAAUGAACAUGUUUUAUCUUUUAAUAAGGAGGUGUUUAUUGGUCAAAAGUUCUCUUUCCCAAGCAGAUGACCCAGAAGAAAAGGUCUACAAAAAAAAGUCAUGGCUCCUUAUCUUGCCUUUUACAAAGAAAUGACAACAAAAUCCAGCACUUGGUUGGGGCAUUUGAACACAAAUUUUGCCCCGUGGGGUAAGAAUUUGAAAAAACCCAAUCAUAAAGUUCAAGUGCCUGGGGGGGUUGCCUGGUAGGGGGAAUGUUGAAGCUUUGAAUUGAUCAACAUACAUCUACAUGUAUUAAGUUCUCAUCUGUUGCAGAUUCAAUCCUUUUUAAUUCCCCAGUGCGAAUCUGUUGAACACUAGUUUUUGUUUUCAGACAAUCUUGGACUAAAUGUUCUGGACACCUUGGUUGUUUUUUACUUAAAACAUCAAUUUCAUUCUUAUUAACAUGUUGCUAUUAUUAUAAUAGUAAUGGAUUUAGCACUCAGAAAAUCAGCCAAUAGUGUCCUAAGCCAAAACUCGGCCAAUACUGUCCAAAAAAAAAAAAUCAGCCAUUACUGUCCAAAAUAAAAAAUUGGCUACUAGAGUUUAAAAUCAAAGAUCAGACCUUAGUGAUCCAAAUUGAAAACUAGCUUCUAGUGUCCAAAAUCCAAAACUAGUAUCCUAGUGUCCAAAAUAAAAAAUCAGCCCCUAGUGUCUAAAAUCAAAACUCACAUGCUAGCUCCAAAAUCAAAAAUUGCAAAUCUGCCAUUAGUGGCCAAAAUCGCAAAACAGUUAAUAGUGGCCAAAUUGCAAAAAUGGUUACUAGUGGCCAGAAUCAGAAAACGGUCACUAGUGGCCAAAAUCAUAAGUCGGCCACUAGUGACCAAAAUUGCAAAUCGGCUACUGGUGGCCAAAAUUGCAAAACAGCCACUAGUGGCCAAAAUUGCAAUACGGCCAUUAGUAGCUGAAAUCACUAAACGGCCACUAGUGGCCAAAAUUGCAAAAUUUCUUGAAAUUUUUUGUCUUCCAAGUACAAUUUUAUUUCAAAGGAUAUCUGAGAAGUUCAAACAAAAUAAAUGGAGGGGGCCAUUUUCAUAUUAUGACAAAAGAGUAGUACAAUGUGAAUUGUCAACAAAAGGAUUGCCACUUAAACAUGUAACGUAUAUAUACGUUUUGAGCAAAUACGAAAUACACUGAUGGGAAUGUGAGCUGCCAACUUCAGCUUUUUGGUACUUUCCACAUUUGACAAAUUAUUACUCGCAGAGAUUAUAUUUUCCUCACAUCCUCUCCCCACAGUAUCAUUUGAGUAUUGAUUUGAAUGUGUGAAUUGUGUGAUAAUUAUGUUUAAAUAUUAACUUUUAUUAACCUUAAACUGUUUCAGGAUGUUUAUUUGUAGAGCUCAGAGCUUAAUGUGACUGUGUGGUUGAAGGUUCUUUGAAUCACAGUUUGUGGCUGGACAAAUUGCUUCCUCAUGUUUCCUUGACAGUCCUAGCUCCUCACGGUUUAUGCCGAAAUGUUCAUUGGUCUUGAGGGAUGGCUUUCGGUGUGUAACAACGUCAGCAUUCAGCUCAACUGAUUCAAUCCAUGAAGUGACAGAAGUGGACUACUUUGGAGUCAUGUCCAUCUGACACAAACAAAGAAAGCCACACCUCAAGUCACAUUGAGACUUCCACGGCACACAACAAGGUCGUAUAUUUCUUCGAAGUGCAGGUUCCAA